GCGCCGGUUUAGCUCAGUGGUUACUUCUAGCACCAGAACGCUGUACUCUCGCAAGAGGGAUCGAACCACGGGCGCUGUCCUGCGUUUUA
rnacentral:vault_RNA from 1 species